rnacentral:rRNA from 1 species
CCGGCUAACUACGUGCCAGCAGCGCGGUAAUACGUAGGUUGCAAGCGCUAAUCGGAAUUACUGGGCGUAAAGCGUGCGCAGGCCGUUUUGUAAGACAGGCGUGAAAUCCCCCGGGCUUAACCUGGGAAUGGCGCUUGUGACUGCAAAGCUGGAGUGCGGCAGAGGGGGAUGGAAUUCCACGUGUAGCAGUGAAAUGCGUAGAGAUGUGGAGGAACACCGAUGGCGAAGGCAGCCCCCUGGGUCAAGAUUGACGCUCAUGCACGAAAGCGUGGGGAGCAAACAGGGUUAGAUACCCUGGUAGUCCACGCCCUAAACGAUGUCUACUAGUUGUCGGGUCUUAAUUGACUUGGUAACGCAGCUAACGCGUGAAGUAGACCGCCUGGGGAGUACGGUCGCAAGAUUAAAACUCAAAGGAAUUGACGGGGACCCGCACAAGCGGUGGAUGAUGUGGAUUAAUUCGAUGCAACGCGAAAAACCUUACCUACCCUUGACAUGGCAGGAACCUUGGAGAGAUCUGAGGGUGCCCGAAAGGGAACCUGCACACAGGUGCUGCAUGGCUGUCGUCAGCUCGUGUCGUGAGAUGUUGGGUUAAGUCCCGCAACGAGCGCAACCCUUGUCAUUAGUUGCUACGCAAGAGCACUCUAAUGAGACUGCCGGUGACAAACCGGAGGAAGGUGGGGAUGACGUCAAGUCCUCAUGGCCCUUAUGGGUAGGGCUUCACACGUCAUACAAUGGUACAUACAGAGGGCCGCCAACCCGCGAGGGGGAGCUAAUCCCAGAAAGUGUAUCGUAGUCCGGAUUGUAGUCUGCAACUCGACUACAUGAAGUUGGAAUCGCUAGUAAUCGCGGAUCAGCAUGUCGCGGUGAAUACGUUCCCGGGUCUUGUACACACCGCCCGUCGCACCAUGGGAGCGGGUUUCACCAGAAGUAGGUAGCUUAACCGCAAGGAGGGCGCUUACCACGGUGGGAUUCGUGACUGGGGUGAAGUCGUAACAAGGUAACCAAU